rnacentral:rRNA from 1 species
GACGGGGGGUCCUAGCGUUGUUCGGAAUUAUUGGGCGUAAAGCGUGUGCAGGUUGUCUGAAAAGUUAGAUGUGAAAUCCUUGGGCUCAACCCAAGACGUGCAUUUAAAACUACCAGACUUGAGUAUGGAAGAGGAUCGUGGAAUUCCAAGUGUAGUGGUGAAAUACGUAGAUAUUUGGAGGAACACCGGUGGCGAAGGCGGCGAUCUGGUCUUAUACUGACACUCAUACACGAAAGCGUGGGGAUCAAACAGG